rnacentral:rRNA from 1 species
UGUGUAGGCGGUUGUGUUAGUCUUUCGUUAAAGACCGUGGGCCCAACCCAUGGAAUGCGGGAGAAACGGCACGACUACGAGGAUGCGAGAGGUAAAGGGAACUCAUAGUGUAGGGGUGAAAUCCGUUGAUAUUAUGGGGAACACCAAAUGCGAAGGCACUUUACUGGCGCACUCCUGACGCUCAAACACGAAAGCGUGGGAAUCGAACG